GACGAACGCUGGCGGCGUGCUUAACACAUGCAAGUCGAACGGAAAGGCCCUGCGUUUGUGGGGUGCUCGAGUGGCGAACGGGUGAGUAACACGUGAGUAACCGGCCCUUGACUUUGGGAUAACUUCAGGAAACUGGGGCUAAUACCGGAUAGGAGCUCCUGCUGCAUGGUGGGGGGGGGAAAGUUUCGGCGGUUGGGGAUGGACGCGCGGCUGACCAGCUUGUUGGUGGGGUAGUGGCAUACCAAGGCAUUGACGGGUAGCCGGCCGGGGAGGGUGACCGGCCACAUUGGGACUGAGAUACGGCCCAGACUCCUACGGGAGGCAGCAGUCGGGAAUAUUGCACAGUGGGCGGAAGCCUGAUGCAGCGACGCCGCGUGCGGGAUGACGGCCUUCGGGUUGUAAACCGCUUCCGCCUGUGACGAAGCGUGAGUGACGGUAAUGGGUAAAGAAGCACCGGCUAACUACGUG
rnacentral:rRNA from 1 species